CGAAUGCUGACAUAAGUAACGAUAAAGCGGGUGAAAAGCCCGCUCGCCGGAAGACCAAGGGUUCCUGUCCAACGUUAAUCGGGGCAGGGUGAGUCGACCCCUAAGGCGAGGCCGAAAGGCGUAGUCGAUGGGAAACAGGUUAAUAUUCCUGUACUUGGUGUUACUGCGAAGGGGGGACGGAGAAGGCUAUGUUGGCCGGGCGACGGUUGUCCCGGUUUAAGCGUGUAGGCUGGUUUUCCAGGCAAAUCCGGAAAAUCAAGGCUGAGGCGUGAUGACGAGGCACUACGGUGCUGAAGCAACAAAUGCCCUGCUUCCAGGAAAAGCCUCUAAGCAUCAGGUAACAUCAAAUCGUACCCCAAACCGACACAGGUGGUCAGGUAGAGAAUACCAAGGCGCUUGAGAGAACUCGGGUGAAGGAACUAGGCAAAAUGGUGCCGUAACUUCGGGAGAAGGCACGCUGAUAUGUAGGUGAAGUCCCUCGCGGAUGGAGCUGAAAUCAGUCGAAGAUACCAGCUGGCUGCAACUGUUUAUUAAAAACACAGCACUGUGCAAACACGAAAGUGGACGUAUACGGUGUGACGCCUGCCCGGUGCCGGAAGGUUAAUUGAUGGGGUCAGCGCAAGCGAAGCUCUUGAUCGAAGCCCCGGUAAACGGCGGCCGUAACUAUAACGGUCCUAAGGUAGCGAAAUUCCUUGUCGGGUAAGUUCCGACCUGCACGAAUGGCGUAAUGAUGGCCAGGCUGUCUCCACCCGAGACUCAGUGAAAUUGAACUCGCUGUGAAGAUGCAGUGUACCCGCGGCAAGACGGAAAGACCCCGUGAACCUUUACUAUAGCUUGACACUGAACAUUGAGCCUUGAUGUGUAGGAUAGGUGGGAGGCUUUGAAGUGUGGACGCCAGUCUGCAUGGAGCCGACCUUGAAAUACCACCCUUUAAUGUUUGAUGUUCUAACGUGGACCCGUGAUCCGGGUUGCGGACAGUGUCUGGUGGGUAGUUUGACUGGGGCGGUCUCCUCCUAAAGAGUAACGGAGGAGCACGAAGGUUGGCUAAUCCUGGUCGGACAUCAGGAGGUUAGUGCAAUGGCAUAAGCCAGCUUGACUGCGAGCGUGACGGCGCGAGCAGGUGCGAAAGCAGGUCAUAGUGAUCCGGUGGUUCUGAAUGGAAGGGCCAUCGCUCAACGGAUAAAAGGUACUCCGGGGAUAACAGGCUGAUACCGCCCAAGAGUUCAUAUCGACGGCGGUGUUUGGCACCUCGAUGUCGGCUCAUCACAUCCUGGGGCUGAAGUAGGUCCCAAGGGUAUGGCUGUUCGCCAUUUAAAGUGGUACGCGAGCUGGGUUUAGAACGUCGUGAGACAGUUCGGUCCCUAUCUGCCGUGGGCGCUGGAGAACUGAGGGGGGCUGCUCCUAGUACGAGAGGACCGGAGUGGACGCAUCACUGGUGUUCGGGUUGUCAUGCCAAUGGCACUGCCCGGUAGCUAAAUGCGGAAGAGAUAAGUGCUGAAAGCAUCUAAGCACGAAACUUGCCCCGAGAUGAGUUCUCCCUGACCCUUUAAGGGUCCUGAAGGAACGUUGAAGACGACGACGUUGAUAGGCCGGGUGUGUAAGCGCAGCGAUGCGUUGAGCUAACCGGUACUAAUGAA
rnacentral:rRNA from 1 species